GGGAGAGGCAAGCGGUACUCGAUGGGUAGGGGUAAAAUCCGUUGAUCCAUUGAAGACCACCAGUGGCGAAGGCGGCUUGCCAGAACGCGCUCGACGGUGAGGGAUGAAAGCUGGGGGAGCAAACCGGAUUAGAUACCCGGGUAGUCCCAGCUGUAAACGAUGCAGACUCGGUGAUGAGUUGGC
rnacentral:rRNA from 1 species